rnacentral:miRNA from 1 species
GCAGACACAUUCCAGCCAAUCAGCAGCAGACCCUCCCUCCCAGACCCUCCCACCUCCUGGACAGCAUCCAUUUUACAUUCAUUGUGAAGCUGCAUUCUUAGUGAGCUGUCCAGGAGAUGGGAGGGUCUGGGAGGGAGGGUCUGCUGCCGAUUGGCUGGAAUGUGUUUG